rnacentral:misc_RNA from 1 species
AACGCACGAGACCUGCGGACCUGCGGAGGGAUCAUUACAGGACUCGCAAGACUCCUACAACCCUGUGAACUUAACUAUAAGCACGUUGCUUCGGCGGGUGUCUCGGCGAGGGUUCUCCCUCCCCGGGGCGCUAAGCCCGCCGGCAGCCUACUAUACUCUGUCUCUUUGCGUUGGCAUCUCGAGUACAAACAAACAAGUUAAAACUUUCAGCAAUGGAUCUCUAGAUCGGAAGAGCACACG